UACCAGCAGUCCAAGUCGCAGCCACAAUUAUUGGGUCUAAAACAUCCGUAGCUUGUUUCAUAAGUCUUUUGUGAAAUUUUACGUCUCAAGCGUGAAGCGUGCAAGAGAUACUGUGUUACUAGAGGCCGGGGGAUGUGAAGAGUACAGUUGAGGUAGUGGUAAAAAUACGUUAAUCUCAACUGGACUAACAACAGCGAAGGCACUUCACAACAACGGUUCUGACAGUGAGGGAUGAAGGCUAGGGGCGCAAAACGGAUUAGAUACCCUCGUA
rnacentral:rRNA from 1 species